AAGCCGAGGCCGAAAGGCGUAGGCGAUGGACAACAGGUUGAUAUUCCUGUACCACCUCCUCACCAUUUGAGCAAUGGGGGGACGCAGGAGGAUAGGGUAAGCGCGGUAUUGGAUAUCCGCGUCCAAGCAGUUAGGCUGGGAAAUAGGCAAAUCCGUUUCCCAUAAGGCUGAGCUGUGAUGGCGAGCGAAAUAUAGUAGCGAAGUUCCUGAUUCCACACUGCCAAGAAAAGCCUCUAGCGAGGUGAGAGGUGCCCGUACCGCAAACCGACACAGGUAGGCGAGGAGAGAAUACUAAGGUGAUCGAGAGAACUCUCGUUAAGGAACUCGGCAAAAUGACCCCGUAACUUCGGGAGAAGGGGUGCUCUGUUAGGGUGCAAGCCCGAGAGAGCCGCAGUGAAUAGGCCCAGGCGACUGUUUAGCAAAAACACAGGUCUCUGCGAAGCCGUAAGGCGAAGUAUAGGGGCUGACGCCUGCCCGGAGCUGGAAGGUUAAGAGGAGCGCUUAGCGUAAGCGAAGGUGCGAAUUGAAGCCCCAGUAAACGGCGGCCGUAACGAUAACGGUCCUAAGGUAGCGAAAUUCCUUGUCGGGUAAGUUCCGACCCGCACGAAAGGCGCAACGAUCUGGGCACAGUCUCAACGAGAGACUCGGUGAAAUUAUAGUACCUGUGAAGAUGCAGGUUACCCGCGACAGGACGGAAAGACCCCGUGGAGCUUUACUGCAGCCUGAUAUUGAAUGUUGGUACAGCUUGUACAGGAUAGGUAGGAGCCUUGGAAACCGGAGCGCCAGCUUUGGUGGAGGCAUCGGUGGGAUACUACCCUGGCUGUAUUGACCUUCUAACCCGCCGCCCUUAUCGGGCGGGGAGACAGUGUCAGGUGGGCAGUUUGACUGGGGCGGUCGCCUCCUAAAAGGUAACGGAGGCGCCCAAAGGUUCCCUCAGAAUGGUUGGAAAUCAUUCGCAGAGUGUAAAGGCACAAGGGAGCUUGACUGCGAGACCUACAAGUCGAGCAGGGACGAAAGUCGGGCUUAGUGAUCCGGUGGUUCCGCAUGGAAGGGCCAUCGCUCAACGGAUAAAAGCUACCCCGGGGAUAACAGGCUUAUCUCCCCCAAGAGUCCACAUCGACGGGGAGGUUUGGCACCUCGAUGUCGGCUCAUCGCAUCCUGGGGCUGUAGUCGGUCCCAAGGGUUGGGCUGUUCGCCCAUUAAAGCGGUACGCGAGCUGGGUUCAGAACGUCGUGAGACAGUUCGGUCCCUAUCCGUCGCGGGCGCAGGAAAUUUGAGAGGAGCUGUCCUUAGUACGAGAGGACCGGGAUGGACGCACUGCUGGUGUACCAGUUGUUCUGCCAAGGGCAUCGCUGGGUAGCUAUGUGCGGACGGGAUAAGUGCUGAAAGCAUCUAAGCAUGAAGCCCCCCUCAAGAUGAGAUUUCCCAUUCCGCAAGGAAGUAAGAUCCCUGAAAGAUGAUCAGGUUGAUAGGUCUGAGGUGGAAGUGUGGCGACACAUGGAGCUGACAGAUACUAAUCGAUCGAGGACUUAACC
rnacentral:rRNA from 1 species